UUUCCUUUCUUUGCGAAAGGAUUUUUUUUUUAAUUUCCCCCCUGUGGAAGUUCAGAAGUUAGCAAAUAUCCAGAAAACAAAAAAUAUGUUCUAAGAACAUUUUACUAUCAUCAGCAUUAUGUUAUUAAAAACAUUAUAACAUAAUGUUACAGUUAUAUGAAUGCAAUGUGAAUGUUACAAACAACAUUAAGAAAAUUUGUUCCAUUUGAUAAUUUGGAAACUUUAUGGGAACGUUACAUUUAAAUGUUCUCUGAAACACCUGAAACUAAUAAAUAGCAACAUUUAAAAAACAUUAGACAAACGUCCAACUAAAAUGUUUCAGAAAAACAUUCUAUAAAUCAUGAUUAAAGUGUUUCUGUGCUAAUGUUUUGAGAACAUUAUUGAAGUCCAGCUAACUCUGAGCAGCGCUGUACAUUCUGUAUAAUAAUACUGCUGCCAUUUCCAGUGUAUUUCCUUUAUUAAUAUUGAUUUUAUUUACUUCUAUCCAUUACAUAAUCUAUCCCAACUGGUUUUGCUUCAGUAUCCAAAAUUUACAUUGAACAUCAAGUAUUCAUUGUACCAAACAGAAAUGUCUUUAGAUCUGAACACUGAAAAGCAAUAUAAAUAUCACCAUUAUCAACCAAUGUCAACCAUUAUCUAUUUAUUCUGCAGUCAAAAUGACUGAUUGGGUGUUUACUGAGAAACGUGUAGCAUUGGGCUGGUCCCAUGAUCUCAAAAUACUGGACACCUUGACAAGGAAGCACCUCAUGCAAAAUCACAAAGAAAAAAAUAUUGUGCGUCAUGCUCACAGGGUGGAUCUCUCACGCUCAAUGCUGAUGUUUGCACUGGUGUUUCCAGCUCAUCUGGUUUCCAGAAAGACAUCUCUGACCAAAACAAAAGACUUUAGAAGACGACACCCCGAUUGUCACUGAGCAAACAAAAACUUUGUUUUAUAAAUUAAUCUUAUACGUUACAUUCACAAUAACCACAGUAUCAUUUCAUACAGGUGUUCACAUUCAGCAUCAACAUUUUUCUGUUCUUAAUGGUUAUAUUGGUUAUAACAGGUUUUGUAAACCUGUAAAUAAAGGUAAAAGACUGUGGAAAAUGCAAGACAUCGAUCAUAAAUCAAUAAUUCACUUUCAGUACAGUGCAAUAAUCAUAGUGUCUAUGGUCAAGCUCAGCACUUGAGAGGUUCACCUGAGGUUUUCCAACGUUUUCCAUAAAGUGCAUGACAGGAUCUUCCAAAAAGAGGCGCGAACUACACAUGAUACUCAAAAAUAAGUCUUUCACGAUCAUGAUGUGCUCAAAAAAUGGACAAAAAAAAAAUGAAGAUCUAAUUGAAGUAGCUGAUUUUUUGGAUGUCAAGCUGUCCAGUCCUUCGCUGUUAAAAUUCAUUAACAGGGUUUAUCUUCUGGCACCCCACGUUCAUUCUCAUUCUUGAGAAGGCAAUCACUGUUAAGAGUUUAAUUUCCAAAGACAAUGAUGAUCAAAUGGUUGACUCCAGCAGGCCUUCAAGUGACACGUCAUUCAUCCAUUCUGUUAGUCACUCAGUGAUUCCCAAAGUCCUUUUGUUUUCCUGAAGUUAAUUUAUUCGACUUCUCCAGUCCAUAUUCCUCCUCCAGUCCAUGAUCACUUGGGCAGGAGUUCUCGGUAUGGCACCGUUAGGUUCCCCAGGUACCAAAAGAUCCAAAACACCAAGCUAAGGAAGAUGAUGAUCGGUCCGGACAGGACAAACAAAUCCCAAAAACUGAUGGGUGCAAAAAUGCCAAUGAGGAAGAGAGCUAGUCCGGCUACGUCAAGCAGAACAGCCAAGAAGAGAAAGAGGAAGCAGCGUCCCACUCUUUCCUUGCAGUCCAUCUUGGAGAAGCUCAGGUGAGGAGAGCCGACCGACGUAUGGCAGGCUGAUGAGCCUGAAGAGUGAAUGACAGGAACGUUCUCUCCACAAGACUUUCAUAAAGCAGCUCACCCACAUUCUUACGCAGUGCAUUUCUUUGACGGGAGGCAUGCAACCACCAAAACAAGUUCAACUGCCUGCCGAACGCCUAUUGGAAUUGUCAAGACUUAUUUUUUUGCAUAUUAUUCCUCAGACUGUUCUCAUCACCGUGACAGUGGAUCUACUAGAUAAACUAGAACAGAUUCAGAGAUUUCCACAGACAGAGAAAAGCCUUCGUCAAAGCACCGGCGCAGAUGAAGCAUUAGAUCAAAUCACUAACCGUAAGCAAUGCUGACUAAACAAACAUCACUAAUGAACCACACAGUCAUAUGGGUGAAAUGUGGUUUAAUAGUGUGUAUCAUUUAUACAAACUGAAAACAGCUUUGACUUUACAUGCAUUUCAUAUUGCAUUGGUUACAACGACAGCAACUACAGUAUUGUGAGUGAAAGAGGGAGUGUUUUAGUCAGGAUUUGUUUGGCAUGUCAAGAUUACAUGUUUUAUAUUUACAUACGUCAUCCAAUUUUUCAUAGCAUGUUUACGCAAGCAUAGCUCGCUCACUACUGAAAAAAGAAUAUAUAAAUAAAAAU
ensembl:lncRNA